rnacentral:rRNA from 1 species
UACGUAGGGCGCAAGCGUUGUCCGGAAUCAUUGGGCGUAAAGCGGGUGUAGGUGGCUUGGUAAGUCAGGUGUGAAAGCCCAGGGCUUAACCCUGGAAGUGCAUUUGAAACUGCCGAGCUUGAGUGUGGGAGAGGAUAGUGGAAUUCCUGGUGUAGUGGUGAAAUACGUAGAUAUCAGGAGGAACAUCGGUGGCGAAGGCGGCUAUCUGGCCCAACACUGACACUCAGACCCGAAAGCGUGGGGAUCAAACAGG